GUGAAUGUCCUGGAGGAGCAUCAGGACAGGUUCGGGUGGGAGGGUGAGGCACCGACACAGAUUGCGCGUCAGAUCGUGAUGCACAAACUGAACGUCGACUCAUCCAUUCCAGCUCGACGCCAGAAGCGUCGAGUACUCACUUCUGACAGGCGGGAGGCAGCCAAUGAGGAAAUAUCGGAACUCCUGAAUGCAGGGCACAUUCGGGAGGUUCGAUACCCGACUUGGUUGGUCAACCCCGUCCUUGUCAAGAAACCCAAUGGCAAGUGGCGCAUGUGUAUUGAUUUCACUGAUCUCAAUAAAGCAUGCCCCAAGGACAGUUACCCGUUGCCAUCUAUCGACGAACUAGUCGAUGGAGCAUCCAGUAACGAGCUCCUCUCUAUGAUGGAUGCCCACUCAGGAUACAACCAAAUCCUGAUGCAUGAGCCUGAUGAGGAAAAAAUAUCCUUCAUCACGGACUCGGAGACAUUCUAUUACAGAGUAAUGCCAUUCGGUUUAAGGAAUGCUGGAGCUACAUUCCAACGCUUGAUGGACAAGGUUUUCGCAAACCAGAUUGGGCGCAACGUUUCCGCUUAUAUCGAUGACAUCCUAGUCAAGUCGUCAAGCAUGGAAAAGCACCCUGAUGAUCUGAGAGAAACCCUUGAUACAUUAAAGCAAUAUGGAAUGAAGCUUAACCCAGCCAAGUGCGCAUUUGGAAUCAAGGAAGGCAAGUUCCUUGGUUUCUAUGUAGGCCAGCACGGGAUCAAACCUAAUCCCGACAAAAUCCAAGCUAUCCUCGAUAUGGAAGCCCCCCGCACAAUCAGAGAAGUACAAAGGCUGAACGGUCGAAUUAAUGCACUAAGUCGUUUUAAGUGCCCAGAUAUACGAAUCCCGCGCAGAAUUUCUCGGGCUUCAAGCGCGGAAGUGAUGGAGAAUGGAUGUAUGGUCUCAUUCGGUGGCACAAGAGGUGCAUUAACAAAAACUUCUUCAAAAGACCCCUCGCUCGUGUCACUGAAGGGUAACAGUCUAAUCUCACCACCCGGCAAGGUUUCGCAGUGAGCGUAGCCGGUGUGGUUCUCCACUCCCUCAUAGAAUGGGAGAUUCACAUGGUCUCCAUCCUUAUCCACUUCCGUGGGAGGAGGAGGAGUCUAUGAUCCAUCAGCAGGAUCAGUACAGCGUCGGCUCUGGCUGCGGUCCAGUUCUAGUUCCUGAUCGUAGUCAAAGGGCUCAGGAACCCGUACACCCUCCGCGGAGGGGAAAUGCGUCUUUCCUCUACCCCUCAUCUCGUAAGUAGGAGGAAUGGGGGUACUACCCUCGCAAGAUGAGUUCUUCACGUGUUUAGGGUGUUUUCUCUUUCUUUUCUUACUAGGCCUCUCAGAUUCAUCAAUCGGCCUCUCAGCUUCCACCACUUGAAUGGGUGCAGGUUCUUCAACUUCAGCCCCCGAGUUGGGGGGCAAUAUCGGCGAGUUAGGGUCCAGACUCGCCGAUGUUUGAGUGGAACUCGCCGAUCCCAGUUUGACAACUCGGCGAGGCCUCUUGAAGAUGGGGACACCCCCUUUGCCCUUAGUCGGCGACUUCCCAAAGGGACUCGCCGACUUAAGUGCAAGACUCGGGGGAAUCUCACCCACUUCAAUAGUGGGCUCUGCUACGACCAGAGCCAUAGAGUCACCCCUCAAACUCGCCGACUUCUUGUUAGAACUCGGCGAGUUUUCCGGAGUAAGCCCGAGCAACUCUCGGGCCGUAGCACAGUACUUAGCGUUCUGCGGCGCAUCAACAGCCGGAAUCUCCGACCCACCGCGCACAAGCGAGGGGAUCGGAGACUCGACGGUAUUGAGCACCGCCGCUUAGCUAUCAUCAAUGUCAGUGUUCAGUAAAUCGUCGACCAAAGCUUCGGUCUCCGACAUGGUAAGGUAGGGAAGCGACGGUUGGUCUGCCAUAUGUCGGCGAUAUAAGGACAAACUCGGCGACUUAGUGGUGAGUUCUGGUGAUUGUGGUGAGAGUCGGCGAGUUAGGAAAAGACUCGGCGACUUAGCAAGGGAUUAGGGUUUAAGCAAUUUAGGGAAAGUGAUGUGCGGAUUAAAAUAAUCGAUUCACUAUUUAUAGACCCUAGACAAAUUGCAAAAAUCCCUCGGAAAAUCUAGAAAUUACGCGAAGAAAAAUCGCUAAUUGAUUCCCAAAUCCACAAGAUUCGGCGAGUUUCUCGCAAACUCGCCGAGUUUGGGCAAAAAUCACGGGAUACGAAGGAGGAACUUCCAUAUUUGGAAAAUUUGCAAAUAUUUCCCAAGAUCCUAAGGAUUUUCUAAGAGAUCCGCCAGCUCAUACUAAGACUCGCCGAGUUUAUAAGAAAGUCGCCGAUCUAGGUCAGCAAACCUCCAGGUUUCUCAUAGAACAACCCCGAUUCUAAGUCUCCGAGUUAAUACAUUAAGUCGUCGACUUAGGAUGUCACAUAGUAUCUUAAGGGGGGGGAGUAUCACAAGCUCUCCCGAUAUUUUUACCGUUUCGGUUGGAGAUCGUCAAAUUUCAGGGAGGAGUAUCACAAGCUCUCCCGACUUUUCUGUCGCUCCGGCCGAAAAUUAUCAAACUUCGAGGGGGAGUAUCACAAGCUCUCCCGACAUUUCUACCGCUUCGGCUGGAGAUCGUCGAAUUUCAGGGGGGAGUUUCACAAGCUCUCCCGACUUUUCUGUCGCUCCAGCCGGAAAUUGUCAAACUUCGAGAGGGAGUAUCACAAGCUCUUCCGACAUUUCUAUCGCUUCGGCUGGAGAUCGUCAAAUUUCAGGGGGGAGUAUCACAAGCUCUCCCGACUAUUCUGUCGCUCCGGUCGGAAAUUGUCAAACUCCGAGGGGAGUAUCACAAGCUCUCCCGACUUUUCUGUCGCUUCAGCCGAAAAUUGUCAAACUUCGAGGGGGAGUAUCACAAGCUCUCCCGACUUUUCUGUCACUCCGGUCAGAAAUCGUCAUAUUUCAGGGGGGAGUAUCCCAAGCUCUCCCGACACUUCUGUCGCUCUGGACAGAAGUCGUCAAAUAUGAGCACGGUGAGUCUGUCGCUUCGGCCAGAUUCACCAAGGAUUGGUUCAAGCAAAGGGAGAAUAUCACGAGAGGUAAAAUCGCACGGUAAGUUAAAUUGGUCAAUAGUAAUAUGUGUUUUAGACUAAUCUAGUUGUUUUGCAGGAUGUUUUCUUUUUUGCAGGUAUUAUUCUGUCGCUUUGAACAGAAUGUUUUCUUUUUUGCAGGUGUUAUUCUUUCGCUUUGGCCAAAAUCAGACUCUAAUAGUGAGUCAAUCUAUCUUGUCGCUUUUGCCUUGAUAGACUAGAGAUCGUUCUGUCGCUUUGGCCUUAACGAUCUCAACCCAUCUUGUCACUUUAAGCCUUGAAGGGGGCCUUCGUUGCGGACUUUAAGUCGCUCUUGAUCAAGGUGGAUUAUAAACAUUAGUUCUAUCGCUUCGGCUAGAACUCGGUUCUAUCGCUUUGGCUAGAACCCGAUUCUGUCGCUUCGGCCUGAAUCAGAUUCCGUCGCUUCGGUCGGAAUUAAUCUUGUCGCUUCAACCUUGAUAAACACAGUGCAGUCGCCCUUGAUCAGGGAAGGACUAUAAAUAGAGUUUCUGUUGGCCUGGAACUCGAUUCUGUCGCUUUGGCCAAAAUCAAUCCAUUCUUGACGCUUUGGCCUUAAUGGAUUCGGAAUCAGUACGUCACUGUGGGCGGAAUGAUUCGAUCUCAUCUUGUCGCUUCGUCCCUGGUGCGGAUCACACACACUGAACCUUGGUUGGGGAGGUACUGGCGAUACACGCAUGUUUUUUGUGCUCUCUUCAGGGGGGAGUACUGGUGAGACAUGCUUGAUUACGGCAGUCACUCCCAGCAACGCCUUUCAACAAGGACUAGGGUUCCGUCGCUUUGGCCGGACCCUAGAGAGCUCCAACGGUGCGGAACACGUUCAUCGUCCAGAUCGCCGAGUUAGCCCAUAAGUCGCCCGAUUGGACUACCAAGUCGCCGACAUAAAGGAUAAGUCGUCGAGUUAGGGCCAAGAUCGGCAGUAUGGUAGACUGCACAUCUUGUCCCUGGAAACUCGGCGAGUUAGCCCUAACUAGGCGACUUCCAUACCUGAAUCGCCGACUUACGACCGUUACUCGGCCAUAGCCAACGUCAUAAAUGUUACCAUAUAUGACCAUAGGCGCGAUCUCCGCCUUUGAGUGCGCCCUCCGAGACCCUAUAAAAAGGGUCCCAAGGGGACACUCAAAGGCACGAUUCAAGUUCCUCUCUUACACCAGAGUACCACUAAGAAACUCAGCGAGUCUCACUAGAAUCGCCUAGUUUCUACUUGUAGGUAUUUGACGUAGAGCGCGCGUCGUGGACUCCAGAGCCUCCGGCAUCACCUCGCACCACCGCGAGCCCUGGUAGCAGAUUCAGUGCUUCAUCACUUCCAUAUCAAGGAUAGCUUGGAUUUUGUCGGGAUUAGGUUUGAUCCCGUGCUGACCUACAUAGAAACCAAGGAACCUGCCUUCCUUGAUUCCGAAUGCGCACUUCACUGGGUUGAGCUUCAUUCUGUAUUGCUUUAAUGUAUCAAGGGUUUCUCUCAGAUCAUCAGGGUGUUUUUCCAUGCUUGAUUUCUUGACUAGGAUGUCAUCGACGUAAGUGGAAACGUUGCGCCCAAUCUGGUUUGCGAAAACCUUGUCCAUCAAGCGUUGGAAUGUAGCCCCAGCAUUCCUUAAACCGAAUGGCAUUACUCUGUAACAGAAUGUCCCUGAGUCCGUGAUGAAGGAUGUUUUUUCCUCAUCAGGCUCAUGCAUCAGGAUUUGGUUGUAUCCUGAGUGGGCAUCCAUCAUAGAGAGAGCUCGUUACUGGAUGCUCCAUCGACUAGUUCGUCAAUAGAUGGCAACGGGUAACUGUCCUUGGGGCAUGCUUUAUUGAGAUCAGUGAAAUCAAUACACAUGCGCCACUUGCCAUUGGGCUUCUUGACAAGGACGGGGUUGGCCAACCAAGUCGGGUAUCGAACCUCCCGAAUGUGCCCUGCAUUCAGGAGUUUCGAUAUUUCCUCAUUGGCUGCCUCCCGCCUGUCAGAAGUGAGUACUCAACGUUUCUGGCGUCGAGCUGGAAUGGAUGAGUCGACGUUAAGUUUGUGCGUCACGAUCUGAUGCACAAUCUGUGUCAGUGCCUCACCCUCCCAAAUGAACCUGUCCUGGUGCUCCUCCAGGACAGUCACAAGCCUGGCUCUUAAGGCAGGGGGUAGCCCCUUCCCUAAUGCCACUUGUCCCCCUUCCAACUGAUAUACCUCAGUCUCGUCCACAGGUUGUAAUUUUUCCCUCUCCUCAAUGUCAGGUGGGGUAUGGACGAGCAUGUUGUUAAGCCUUGUCAGUUGGGUUGCCUUCUUAUACCCCUGUCUAGAAUCCUUUUGUGAUCCUUUGACAGUUGCAACGAACCCGUUUACUGGGUAUCGAAUGCAUUGGUGAUAAGAAGACGGGACUGCUUGGAUUACGUGGAUGAAGGGGCGUCCGAAUAUGCCAUGAAAAGUGGAUUCUACUUCCACUACUAUAAAAUGACACGUUCGGCUAACCCUCUCUCGCUUGGAACCGAUGGAGACUUUCAAAUCAAUAACAUCGGCCACUGGGGCGGCGAUGUUAGUGAAACCGUAGAUGGCUUCCUUACAGGGAGANNNNNNNNNNNNNNNNNNNNNNNNNNNNNNNNNNNNNNNNNNNNNNNNNNNNNNNNNNNNNNNNNNNNNNNNNNNNNNNNNNNNNNNNNNNNNNNNNNNNUCUCGACUCGGGAAUCGGGACCGAUGUCUGCUUGGAUCACGAGUGGGUCCUCGUGAGGCUGCAGGACAUCGUCCAGGUCCUCUUCGAAGAAGUAUAUUGACUUCUCCUCGCGGACCCGUUUUCCGUUGUCUCGAGGUAUUGAUUGUGACAUCAGCACCUUUCGGGCAUAUCCUCUAUUCUGGCCAACGGAUCCACCACCAAAUAUCAUAUUGAUGGUCUUCCGCUGGCGGUUCUCGCUGUUGUCGCUAUCUGGCGAAGGAGAGCGUGGACGCUUCCCCUUUGGGUCAGAUUUGCAAUUGUCCCGUCCUCGGGAUCUCUUGACGAAGUUGCCAAGUUCUCCCUUUGAGAUCAACUGCUCGACAAAAGACGAGAAUUCCCUGCAGUGGUCUGUUAGGUGGCCGCAGUCUUUGUGAAAUUUGCAGUAUUUCCCAGAUUGCGUGCGGCCCUCUUUGCCUGCAGGGUCUAAAAAACGAGGGGCAGGUAGAUCCGCUCGGUUCUUUAGCUUCUCAAACAGCUCGCCUUUGCUGAUUGUAAGCGGGGUAUUCCUUUUCCAUAGUGAAGCUGCACCCUUUGGCGGUUGGCUGGUUGAGGUUUGGUAUACCUUGUUAUUGUGCCUAGGCUUCCAUUCUUUUUUGGAAGUUUCAGCCCUGUUGUUGGUAUACCUGUUAGAGGUGUCGUGGAAAUUGUUGUUUCCACUGUACCCCUUCCUCUCAAACUUAGGCUUCUUGAAGCUAGGAGUCCCAAGUUCAGCUAGCUUGUUCUCAUCCUCCUCUUCCACUUCAAUGUAUGAUUGAGCGCGUUGGAAGAGGUCGGGUAGAGAGUUCACCUUGUAGAGGGUCAGAUUUUGGACCAGAGGGGAGUAGGGGACCAAUCCUCUGAUGUAUCCCGCUAUGGCCACACUUGGGAUCAGAUCAUUCACUUCUGUCAUCAUUGUUGUGAACUUGACCGUAUAAUCCCGCAGAGACAGCUUAUCCUGACGAAGUGCCAGAAGUGCGUUGGCACUGUGUUUAAUUCUUAUCAUCCCCACAUGCUGGGCGAUGAAUUUGGACGAGAGGUCUGCGAAGCUGGUGAUUGAGCCAGCUGGCAGAUCGGAGAACCAUCGAUAAGCACUGCCCUUGAGAGUGUCGGGGAAUGCCCGACACAACAGCCCAUCAUCGAUGGUUUGCGGUUCCAGGACGUUGAGGUAGAGAUUCACGUGAUCUUUUGUAUCACUUGAACCGUCAUACGCCUCAAUCCUGGGUACCCACCAGGUAGGUGGGAAAGAUUCCCUUAAAAGGUCCUCGCGAAGAGGAGCACUUUUAAUCCUCAGGAUCUCGUGCGGAUUGCCGACAGCUGGGUCGGUGGCCAGUUUCCGACGAAGAUCCUCUACAAACCGAGUGGUAAGAGUCCUUUCAGAGCGACUCUUACUGGGUCCCGUUUUAAGACGGGAUCUCUGUUUGGUUUUCUCCGCAGAUGGAGAUUAGAUGGACCCAGAUUCAUCCGCCUUUUCACGGAUGGUGGUGGUCCUUUGACUCCUCACUUGCUCGAGGUUAGUCAUCCUUCUUUCUAUGUUGUCCAUAAAACUGAACAACCUUUCUUCCAAGGUGGGUGGAGCCUUGGGCACUAUGUGUUCCUCGAUGUGUGGAGGAACCGAGUUUGUUUCAUCAGGUCGAGCAUUGUUGGGUCCCUUUGGUCGUGAUUGCUCGCCCUGCUCCAGCUCAGUUGCUGGCAUUUUUCCCUUACUUCUUGUGGCGUAAGGAUGCUUUUGCUUUUCGAUGAUGGCCAUGAAAACAAAAGCGGAGAAGUACCAAAGCGGGGAGGUGACCUGACAGAGCCUGUCGGAAAAACAAAAAAUAAGUCGGCGAGUUAGGGGCUAACUCGGCGACUUUUAGAUUUCGAGGUAUUUUCCGAACAAGGUCGUGGACAGCACUCUUAGCUAGCAGACGAUAUUCCGGAUCGGGCGAUUCUCAAGGAUAAGUCGACGAUUUAAGGCUAAAUCGGACCUGAACCGAGAAUCGGACGAUCUAACUCGGCGACUUUUUAACAAACUAGGCGAACCCUCUAGGAGAGCUCGAGCCGGAUUUUUAAAAAAAUCGCGAUUACGACGGGAUACCGGUGGUUCGGUAGUCCCACAGACGGCGCCUGCUGAUGAAGCACGUGAAUCUGCUACCAGGGCUCGCGGUGGUGCGAGGUGAUGUCGGAGGCUCUGGAGUCUACGACGCGCGCUCUACGUCAAAUACCUGCAAGUAGAAACUAGGCGAUUCUAGUGAGACUCGCCGAGUUUCUUAGUGGUGCUCUGGUGUGAGCGAGGAACUUGAAUCGUGCCUUUGAGUGUCCCCUUGGAACCCUUUUUAUAGGGUCUCGGAGGGCGCACUCAAAGGCGGAGAUCGCGCCUAUGGUCAUAUAUGGUAACAUUUAUGACGUUGGCUGUCGCCGAGUAACGGUCGUAAGUCGGCGAUUCAGGUAUGGAAGUCGCCUAGUUAGGGCUAACUCGCCGAGUUUCCAGGGGAAAGAUGUGCAUUCUACCAUACUACCGAUCUUGGCCUUAACUCGGCGACUUAUCCUUUAUGUCUGCGACUUGGUAGUCCAAUCGGGCGACUUAUGGGCUAACUCGACGAUCUGGACGAUGAACGUGUUCCGCACCGUAGGAGCUCUCCGGGGGUCCGGCCAAAGCGACGGAACCCUAGUCCUUGUUGAAAGGCGUUGCUGAGAGUGACUGCCGUAAUCAGGCAUGUCUCACCACUUCUGCUGGGAGGUCAUGAUCUUACCCAAGAAAAAAGGAGGGUUAGGAUUAAGAUAUUUUAGGAAAUCCGCGAAAGCGGUUGCUAUUAAAAGAUUACAUUAUUUAUGAAAUUGCGAUAACUCUAUAUGGUCUUCUUGAAUGAAAGACAAGUAUAUACAAGGAUGGAGCAUGGACAAUAUAAGCAAGAGGAAACAUGCGAACUCAGGUAUUUGGGUUGAAUUGCUCGACACGACAGGUAACUUUGGUGAUAUAUUUAAAUGCGAUACUAAUUAUUCUUAUGUUUGGACUACGGCAGGACAAAGCUUCUCCUACAAAAACGCUUGGAAAUCAGUAAGGUCCAAAGGGUAGGUGGACAACCUAGAUGAGGGAAUAUAAGUAUCCAACAUUCUCAAGUACGAUAUGAUGACCCUAUAGAGAGAAAAUUGGAAGCGGAUCACAACCAACACAGAAAUGGCUAGGAGGGAUACCUUAGAGAACAUUGAUUGUUGGCUAUGUGGAAGACAAGAAGAGUCAUAGAAUCCUUUGUUUUACCUUUGUGACUACGCAUCAGAUAUAUGGAGGUACUUCAGAGAGAAGUUGUCGGAGGUUGUGGACGAGCAAGACACAUAUUAAACUGUAAUACCUCGCUAAGGUGUCGGUCGACGGAAGAUAGUUCCCAGAGUGGGCCGGAGGUUGGAGGACGGAAAUUCUCCCUAAGGAGCCAGAGACAGAGAGUUGUUUUGGUUUAAUAUUGGAUGCUCAGCCAUAUCCUUCAUUCCAUUUAUUUAUAGUCGUUCAAAAAUAUAAAAUGGAAAUAAUAAUUGAAACGGAAAUAAUAAUUUUUAAAAACUAAGGAUUUGAUUGUGCCUGUCACCGAUUCUACCAAUCAAUAAUACACGAAAUUGGGAUCGUAUUUCCCUUUCUAAAUCCUGACGGUCUAUGCUUGUGAUCCCUCCGAAAUGGAAUCUUCUAGAACAACUUCCUCGAUAGCCAAGUCUUCUUUCAAAUGACGUAUUACUUCUUCCAUAUUCAGCCCAAUUGUAACAUCCCCUACUCCAUCAGUUUUAACCUUGUCCUCAAGGUUAGUAGAAGGCACCAAUCUAGAAAUGGUGUUGAUAUCCUCCCACGUUUUUCAUCGGGGUCCAACUCCAUCCAUUCAACUAGUACUUGCCCAAUUUUCUUAUCUUUUCUUUUAAUCACUCGGUAAGCCAAAAUUUGAUGCGGAAUUAAUUACUACCAGGUGUGAUUCAGUGGUCAAUGGAGGUAUUGUAACGCCCGACUCCGAUAGUCUGUCACCUUUGAACUCCUUGAGUAAGCCGAUGUGAAAUACCGGAUUUUUUUUGCAUUCCGGGGGUAAAGCCAAUCAAUAUGCCACAUUGUUAAUUUUUUUCUCUACCAAGAACGGCCCGUAGAAUUUCAUAGACAAUUUCUAAAAUUUUCGCCGCUCGACGGAGUGUUAUCGGUAUGGAUGGAGUUUAAGCCAAACCCACUACCCCACUUGAAAUUCGUGGAAACGACGCUUGAGGUCUACAUAUUUUUUCAUUCGUGCUUGAGCUUCCUGCAAAUUCGUCUGCAAUUCUUUCAACAUUUUCUGUCGAUCGGUCAGUAUUGUGUCUACUGCCUCGACCCUAGAGUCUCCGGAUCGGUAAUCCAUGAUUUCUGGGGACGGUCGCCCAUAGACUUCUUGGAACGGCGUGGUCUUGAUGUUGUGGUGAUAAGGCUAUAUAUUAUACCAUAGUUCCGCCCAGGGAAGCAGUUCUGGCCAGGAACGCAGAUUUUGCUGGAUCGUCGCUCUGAGAUACUGCUCGACAGUCUUGUUCGUAAUCUCCGUCUGGCCAUCUGUUUCGGGAUGGUAGGCCGAUAACAUUCUCAGUGUGGUGCCGCUCCGAGUAAAUAGUUCUUGCCAAAAUUUACUCAAGCAAACUCUAUCGUGAUCGGAUGUGAUGGUCUUAGGAAUUCCGUGGAGUCUUAGGAUUUGGUUCAUGAAAUAUUCCUUAACUAAGGCUGCUUUGUAACCCGUUGUUAACGCCCCCAAGUGAUAAGCAUUUAAAUGGUAUACCAGAAGCUGAAUUCAGAUACCUGAAUUGAUAUCCGGAUUUUAUUCGGACGGGUUCGGAUAUCCGGAAAAUCCAUCGUUAAAAUAUGAAUUCGUUUAAAAAUUCUGGAUUCGGAUAUCCGAAUAAAUAUAAAUUGACUUUCGGAUAUCCGGAUUUUAGGAUCAUUAAUUGAUUAUUAAUUAACUUUAUUAAUGGUGAUUUUAUAUUUUUAUAAUUUUAUUUUAAGAUUUUUAUAAAAAGUUAUCUGGAUUCGGAUUCAAAUUUUCAUAUCCGGAUUUUAUUCGGUCGGAUUCGGAUAUCCGGAUCAUUAUUCAGAUUCGGAUACCUGCAUAUCCGAAUCCGAUCGAUAUACAGGCUUACCAAGUGACAAUACUUGGUUAGUCGGUUGACGACCAUAACGAUUACCGAUUUUCCUCCCACCGAUGGCAACCUAAUUACGAAGUCAAUUCUGACAUCUUCCCAAAUGGCUGUCGGAAUCGCGAAUAGUUUUAGAAGCCUGCGGGGUUUGAGAGGCGGCAUUUUCACCUGUCACAUUUGACAAUUCCCAAUACCUUUAUAUCACGAUUCAUACCUUCCCAGAAAAACAUUGAACGGACACACUCCAAUGUGCUAAAAAAUCAUGAGUGUCCUCCUAAUCACGUGUUGUGAAGGUCUGUCAAGAUUACCAUCCGUAGGGGUGAUGUGGGCCUGAUGCAGAAUUGCCCUUUGAAAGAAAAAGUUCCUUGUUUAAUUCGAAUCCUUCCCUGGACGUUUUGUCGAGGAUUUGCUGUCGUUUCUUAAUCAUCCAAGUGUCGAUCUCAUUUUCCUUCUUGAGUUGGGCUUCCCAAUCGAGAAUUAAGGCUGUCGACAUCGCGUGUAACUGGGUCGUUGCUUCCUCACUGCUGGUGAUAUAGAGAGAGCGUCGGUGGCUCCAUUAUCUUGACCUCUUUUGUAUAUAAUAUUAUAUUUAUAUUCCAAAAGCUUGGUUAGGAAGAAUUGUUGUUCUGGUGUCUGUAUGGUCUGACCCAACAAGGUCUUCUGACUCCGGUGGUCGGUGCAUGUUGUAAAAUCGUUGCCCCACAAAUAGUGUCGUCACUUAUGUACCAUGUCGGUGAUCGUCCACAGUUCCAUGGAAUAAGUAGAUGCUUUCUGCCGGAGAGGAGACAACUUCUUGCUAUAAAAUGUAAUUGGGUGUUCGUUCUGCAGUAGAAUAGCCCCGACGCCUACGUCGCAUGCAUCUUUUUCAAUCACGAAAGGUAAUGAGAAAUUAGGAUAAACUAAGAAUGGUGUCGUAGUUAAUUUCUCUUUCAAUAUAUGUUGAAUGCGGUAAACCCCACUGGAAUCCAUCCUUCCUCAGUAGAUCGGUCAAAGGAGCUGUCGAUUGAGCGUAUUUCUCAAUAAAUCGUCGGUAGUAGCUCGUGAGCCCCAAAAAAGCCCGUACGUGUUUUACUAUCUUGGGUUGAGGCCAUGACUUAACCGCUUCUAUCUUCUCUGGGUCGGGCCGGACUCCCGUAGCUGAAAUAAUGUGGCCGAGGUAGGUUAAGCUUGACACCCCAAACUCACAUUUAGAAGCCUUGAUGUAGAAACAAUAUUGUUUUAAUUAUAAUUCCAGAACUACUCCUAAGUAUUAAAGAUGUAUCUCCCUGGUCUUGCUAUAGACUAGAAUAUCGUCAAAGAAGACAAUCACAAAUUUUCUCAAUAAUUCUUCAAAGAGGUGGUUCAUGGUAUCUUGGAAUGUUGCAGGUGUAUUGGUGAGACCGAACGGCAUAACUAAAAAUUCAUAAUGACCAUAAUGGGUACGAAAUUAAAAGUCGUCUUUUCAGUGUCGUUUUCCGCGAUCCUUAUUUGGUGAUAUCCUGCUCGAAGAUCAACUUUUGAGAAAAUUGUAGCCCCGUCCAACUCAUCAAGAAGCUCGUCCAUGGUAGGUAUUGGGAAACGAUCCCGGACUGUGGUCGAAUUUAAUGCACGAUAAUCCACACAAAACCUCCUUGAUUCGUCCUUCUUGAGCACUAGUAAUACUAGGGAGGAAAAUGGGUUGACACUGUGGCGGUUUGGCGGAUUAGUCCUUGCUUGAGCAUCUUCUCAGUCAACCUCUCAAUCUCUGACUUUUGAAAAUGGGGGUAGCGGUAGGGAUGGACAUUGAUGGGGUUUUGUUCCUGGAUUUAAUAAAAUGUUAUGAUUAAUGGGUCUCCAGUGUGGUAGGCCUACGGGCUCUUGCAUGAUUAACGAAUAUUAUAUUUCUUUAAAACUUGUAGUUCGGCCCAAGGCUCCUGAACCGACUGGGCUAUUGUUGGAUCGGCCCGUAGUUGACAAAAAUAUGCAACCUCCACACGACCCAUCAACGUUUUUAAACCCCGUUCGAAAUCUGGUCUGGUGCGUUACUCUGUAUGCAUAUUGACUUGCCUUGAUGUUGAAAUUCCAUCGUCAGUUGUUUAUAGUUACAUGUCACCGCCCCUAGGAUCUCCAACCAUUGUAUGCCCAACACAAUGUUGGCGCCCUCCAUAUAUAGCCAACACAUACAAAUCCUCGUUCAUGGUCAACUCCUAAAUUGUUAACUUUACCUUACGACAUACUUCCCGGCAGACGAGAUACUUUGCCACUACCAAUAAAGACUUUGAAUUCCUUGAGUGAUUGUAGUCCAAUCCCCAGCUUGUAGGCUACCGAAUCCUGAAUAAAGUUAUGAGUCGAUCCACUGUCGAUGAGUAUUGUGAGAUCCCGACCCCUGACCGUUCCUUUUAACCUCAAUGUUCUCGAAUUGAAAGUCCCCACUAAGGCUUGGAGACUUAUCUUGGUUGUUCCCUCUUCCAUCGCUACCUCUUCCACAUGUUAUUCCUCCUUUGGCGGUUCCUCGCACAUUUCGACUAAACAACCUUGUUGAUCAGUAUCAAUCCGAAAAGUCUCCCUUUGCAGUGGUGUUCCGAGGCGUAGGCUUCAUCGCAGUUGAAGCACAAGCCUUUUGUUGUCUGAAUUCGCCUCUCCUCAACUGUUAAUGUCUUUCGCACAAUGGGCACAACCUUGGGCACCUCUGGUGGGGUCUUGAGUAACGGACCCAGAUUAGCUAUUGUACUCUGCUGGUAUGAUUUUCGCCAAGACACUACAAGAAAAAGGCUUAUUUGGUCGCAAAAAGGCAUAAGUUGGUCACUUAUAGAAAAAAACGACCAGUUUUUUGAUCGCCACGUUAGUCGCAAGAAACCCCGUCAAUAGUGAUCUAUAAGCGACCAACUUUUUGAGUUGGUCGCUUGAAAGUGGCCAACUGGGUUGGUUGCUCAAUAAAUCUAAAUCAGACCAAAUUUUUGGCGCCAACAUAAGGGCGACCAACUUGGUUAGUCCCAAAAAUUUGGCGCCAACAAUAAGUUGGUCGCAAAAAUUUGGCACCAACAUUAGGGCGUCCAACUUGGUUAGUCUCAAAAAAUUGGCACCAACAUAAGGGCGACCAACUUGGUUGGUCCCAAAAUAAGGGCAACCAACUUGGUUAAUUGGUCCCAAAAAAUUGGCGCCAACAUAAGGGCAACCAACUUGGUUGGUCCCAAAUAUUUGACGCCAACAUAAGGGCGACCAACUUGGUUGGUCCCAAAAAAUUGGCGCCAACAUAAGGGCGGCCAACUUGGUUGGUCGCAAAAGUUGUCGCUUUAUACUAUAGGCGACUAAUUUUAAAAGUGGUCUUAAAAAGUCAAAUAUAAGGCUAGAGUUGGUCAGAGAAAGGCUCCUUUCUUGUAGUGAUCGUAUUAUGUAUUUGAAGUUUGAACUAUUCUAUGUAUUUUGAUAAUUGAUAUAGAUAUAUAAAAAAAUAUAUGAAUUUCCUUUAGUUUUAUAUAUAUUAAUGAAAAUGUCAUUGACGCAUCUGUGCGCAUAUGCGUGUAUGCUCAAGUGCUCUAGGUGGUGGCGCAUCCGGAACCAUGAUGGAGAUAGGGGUCCCCCUGCCUUAAUCUUUUGUUUGACCCAAUCUGCUUGUUUGGGAUAUCAUUUAUUAAGAAUGUUAAUGACGUAGUGCUGACUAGCAUCAUGCAUUAUGUGCUAAAUCUUAGUGCUAUAAGAGUAGUUUUUAGGGAUUUUCAGCUACAUGUAUCGAAUGUCUUUCUUAGGUAUGGCUUGAUUGUUGCAUUUGUCCUGCCUGUUGAUUUUCCAAAAUCUAUGACCAUUUCAGUGGCCAGUAGAAAGUUGUCUCCUUGGUAGGAUCGAAGGUUGUUUGGUUAGAGUUAAUUACAUCUUUUACACGUCUACUAGUCUGUUUGUGAUUAUUUUGGAUAACAUCUUGUAUAUUAUGUUUAUACACGAUAUUGGUCUGAACUGAUCCAGUGAUGAUGCAUUCUUGAAUUUUGGUAUGAGGGUUACAAAGGUAUCGUUCACUUGUCUGAGCAAAUUAUCCUCAAGAUAUAUUGAUUGAAUGACCCUAACGAGGUCUGUCUCUAUUGUGCCUCAAAACAAUUUAAAGAAUGCUCCAUUGAAACCAUCCGACCCUGGGCUCUUGUUUGUGUUUAGGUGGGAUUACCAGUCAGAGGCAGAGCUACAGUGUAGCGAGGGAAAGUUUUAGGAUUUUUCGAGGGUAUGUGUGUAAUUAAAAUAAAUAUAGGGUUAAAAAUAUAAAUUUUACAUAUUUUUAAUAUAAUUUCAUUUAAACGCACUCUUCUUCCUCUAUUCUUUAUCUUCAAAAUUUUAAAUCCCUAUAUUUUUUUUCCAACCUCAAUCUCUAAAUCCCCAAAAUCUUCUGUAAAAUUUUAAUUUUUAAAAAAUUAUUUAUCGAUGUAUUUUGUUAGACUAUUAAACUUUAUAUUUGUUUAAAUAAAUGUGGAUGUAUUUUGUUAAACUAUUUAUUUAAAUAAACAGGUUUUCUUCUAUAUUUAUUUUUUUGGGAAAAUUUUAAUUAAAGUCUGAAAAAAAAAUUCCACCUCCGGCAAAAGAACUCUGUUACCCCCAAAACAAAUUUCUGAUUCCACCACUUACCAGUUACCACCUUCUUGAUUUUUUUUAUAGUUGAGGACUCUCACAAGUUCAGUGUUUUGUUCAGGACUCCAAGUGUUACCACCUUCAGUGUUUUUUUAAACUCUUUUAUUCAAUAUAAAGUAAGAGUGAGAAUGGGGCGGGCUUCCGUUCCGCGACCCGGUGGUAACCGGGGACGGGGCAGAAUAUAUGCCCCGUUUUCCAUUUGUUGCCCCGGUCAUAUUCCGGAGCGAGUCUCGGGUCAGGGCGAAACCCAGGCGGGUCGCCCCGGUUUAAAAAUAAUAAUUUUUUAUUAUAUUAUAUUAGAUAUAAGAUUAUUAAAACUACAAAUUUUAAGAAUUAAAGUAAAAAGUUUACCCAUUUUAAAUUUUAGGUUUACUUUUUUAAUUAUUUUUUUAUAAUUUUUUAUUUUUAUAAUUCCAGGCAGGUCUCAGUGCGGGGAAGUAGGGUGUCUGAGCCGCCCCGUUCCGCCUCCCGUUUAGAGUGAGUUGUGUUUGAUGGAAGUAGGUCUUACUCCUCUUAUCACGUGUGCCUGCAGAGUAAGGGGGCAUAAGCCACACUUCGAAUUGUAGGUGUUCAGAAGCUUCCAUAAGUGUGUGUUAUGAUCCAAGUCCCCCUUAUCACGUGUGUUUGCAGAGUAGGGGGCAUAUGCCACACUUCAAACUUCAGGGUCUUGGUAGUGUAGUUUGGUGUAUCUGAUGGGAAAAUGCCCUACUCCUCUUAUCAUGUGUGCCUGCAGAGCAGGGGGCAUAAGCCACACUUCGAGUUAUAAGUACUCAUGUACUCCGAUCCCACCAAUGCAAAUUGAAAGAUAUAUGAAUUGAAAUCACAAUUACGAGUGUAAUACAAUAUGCCAUUUCAUGUAUUCUAUUAAGUUAAGUAAUGAUAUUUCAUUCAUGUAGACAUGAUGUUGUAGAUAGAUUAACAUCGAGCAUAUAUUUAGCAUUUCAUUCAAUAUCUCAAGUUUAUUAGCAUGGAAUGUACAAAUAAUUAGCAUGGCAUGUAUGCAGUUCUGUAGAGGCAUUAACAAGAAGCAUGCAUUUCAUAUUGUGGGCAUGGCAUGCAUGAUGUUCUAGAUAAAUCUGUGUAGAUAGUUGAUUAAUCAGUUACUAAUUAAAUCAGAUAGUUUUAGACAGUUACAAAUUAAAUGCUAAUCAGAUUUAUGUUGAUCGAUGUUGCAUGCUAGAUUUUAUUAGGGGUUAAUGGUUUUAGGUUGCAUGCAAGUAAGUCUGAUAAGAGAGAUAUAUGUAUUUUUAUCUAGUUGUUAUUAUCCCUAAAUCCUAGGGUACAAACCUUGCCCCUUAGGGUUUUUGAGACGAGGAUGUCGGAGCCUGGUCGAAGACCUGAUCUGAGAUCUUGAGCGGAGAGCGAGUGUCCUAGUGAUCAGCCAGAGUAGAUCUGAGUCUGGAAGCCCAGAUAUGCUCUGAUACCAUGAAGAAUCUGAUAACUGAGGAGGCGUGAGACCGGAGGCCUCGAUGCACGUAAGCGAGGAGAGAAGAAAUGAAGGUGAGGAGUACGUUGAGAGUUGGCCGGCAGAGCCGAUUUUCGGAUAUAUAUUGAUCGAUCGAGAAAACUGAAUUACAUAGUGUGGAAGUUUAAGAGGAAAGACGAUCUCUAGGGUUUCUAGGGUUUCAGAGAAAAAUAUUCAAAAGUUAAUAUUGUCGGCAUUAAGAUAUGCCUUAUAUACUAGGGUUGUGAACUUGUGAUAAGUUUAUCACUGAUGAACUGAGCCAAAUUAUUGCUGGGUGGUCUAAUAUAUAGACCUUAAUACUCUCUGUGGAACAUUUCAGAUUCGUGAUGUCCUCCGUCUUCAGCAAGUUCCCGAGAGUACGUACGGAAUCCCUCCUUCAUGACCUGUUACUAGUAUGAUGUAGAGUAGGAGAAAAUUACAUUAGGAUGUAUAGUAGCUUUACAAGUGUCACUUCAAAACUCUGUCUUUUUUUAUAUCAAAUCAACUAUAUUUUCCUAGCGUUAACAUACCCACAAAGUGAAACCCAAAUAUCUCUCCAAUCUCAAAACGCACUCUCGACGGAGAUUUUCUCAAGAAACCCUAGUUGAACGGUUUCGUUUUAUCGAGCAGACGCGUCCAUUGAAGAAGGUACGAACGAUUUCUAUUUCUAUUUAAACCGUUGUUCUAGUCUCGUGAAACUUGUUUAUUGGGUUCGGCUACAUCUUUGUUUUGGAACGAAACAGGGUGCUCGUUCGACUGAAGUUUUAUAAAGAAGAGAGGUGUUUCAUUCUAAGAACAAGGUAUGUUAUUCAAAUAUUUUCAAACUUGUGGAUGUUCUAUAUCUACAUUGCAGUUUGGAGGAUAUUUUUUAGAAAAUCAUUUGAUGGGUUCCGUAACUUCAGUUGCAUCUCUGUUUUGAACAGAAUAGGAAAGUUGGUCUGCUCAACUUUAAUUAAGAAGUGAGGUGUUUUUUUCAGAGAAGAAAGGUACGUUUUUUUAGAGUUAUUUUAACUGUUAGAUGUUUGAAUUCUACAUUACAGUUUGAACGAUAUAUUUUAGACCAUCGAAUUUGUUGAGUUUUCAGUGAUUUUGUAAAAAUAAAAACAAAAAGAAAUGUCUUUGUCCAAUGAUUCUAGCGAUCUCCGAUCAUCUCAAAUACAAUUAACUCAACCAAGAAGAGAUGAAAUAGGAGAUGCCGACGGUUUAAUACUCUUUCUUUUUUUUAAUUUGUGCGACUAAAUCAUUUGUAAUUAAAAAAUUAGUACUAACUGUCUAUGUUUGUAGGCGACAUCGACAUUGAAUUUUCACUUGCCAAGGGCGACAGAAGAGUGGUGAAGGCUAAGAGAGAGAGGACUGAAAAUAAUCUCCACAUUAGUGAGUAUUUUUAUUGAAUUAUUUAUUUUGUCGUUUUUUUCGUUUAAAAUAUAUGUGUUUUUUCUCCCGUCAAUGAUUUGAUCAUACAUCGUUCGAGUAUUCCAACUUAUGUUGAUGUUGUCCGAAAGGGCAAAAUAAAAUUCCCAAGAUCAAAUGUGCGGAAAUUGAAGGACACGUAUUUUGGAGCAUUUGUUGAGAUGAUGGAUUUCCCCAUCAAAUCUAGAUUGUUAGACGACUUGGUUGGAGCUUGUGUCGGAAAUUACUGUUUUGAAAUAAAAGACAAGAAAAUGAAGGUUUCUGUUAAAGAAAUUGGGGAAAUUCUGGAGAUUCCAUGUGAAAGACUGCCAAUUAAUAUGAAGCCUAAGGCCAAACCAACUAGCGAAUGGGCCAAUAGGUAUUCAUCACUAAAUCUUGAUCUGAAGAGAGAUGUGAUUAGUAGUACGAUGAGUUCGAUUUUGGAGAAGAAAAAAGAAAUGGAUGACGAAGAUUAGAAUGACAUAGUAAGACUGUGGAUUAUAUUUUUUUUUAUUACAAUCCUAGGCUGCAAAAACAGUUAUAGGAUUGGAAAAAAAGUGCUCGACUAUGUCGACAACUUAGGCUACCUGGAAGAGUACAAUUGGGGUGCUUAUAUAAGAGAUGUUUUAUUCCUGAAGACAGAUAAAUGUCGUGACAGUAUCCUCCAUCGAAGACAUAGUGCAUCUAAAGAAUAUUUGGAUGGAUGUAUAUUUGUUUUGAUGGUAUGUUAAAUAUUUAAUUUUUUUUUAAUAAUGUCAAUUUUGUUUAUAAUUAUUGUAUUUCACUCGUAAAACAAUUAAGUGUGGUUGUACAAACACACAAUGAUUGCGAAACAGGACGAGGUCUACGUGGAAUUUGAACCAUACUUCAAAAAAUGGGGUGGUGAUGUUGUUGUUCUGAGGACAUCAUUGACUGAUUUGAGGCCUAGUGAGGUACAUUUGUGUCUAUUGAAUGUGGUUUUGUAAGGUAGUAGUGGUAAUAUUGGUUUUAUGACAUGUAUGCUAUAGGUAUUUUCAAAUGACAUUCCCUUGAAAAAACGAAUGUCACUUGCGAGGGAUAUGGAGGCUCAGUCCUCAGAAGAAUAUAAUAAUACCUGGAUGUUGUGGAUGAUGGAUCAAAUUCUAGCGCAAGAUCUGAUUCAAGUGAUUCUAAUGAUGAGAAGAAAAAGAAAAUGAUUGCAAAGGGGAAGAAACCUAUGGUUGAAGCGAAAAAGAGUAAGAAAAAUACAAGUAAUGAAGGUAAUGUUGUGAAAACUAAAUGUCUAGUAAGUGUGGAUGCUACUAUGAAAACUGAUAAAGAGCAACUGAGGAAAUUGGUGAAGAUGAAAUCAAACAAAAAAAAGAAAAGUGUGCAAUCGUCAGUACGUCGUAGUUAAAGACUAUCACGUGGUAGAUCUGAGAGUACUGGUAACUUAAACACGGAGGAGAGAAAUGUGAAGAAAAUUAAGAAAGCGAAAGAAUGUAAGAAAGUGUGAUUUAAUAAUGAAGAAACAACUGUAAAGGAAGGUAAAAAUAAAUUUUGAAAUUUGUAAAUGAAUCUUGCUUUAGGUUUAGGUUGUGGUCAGAGAAGUUGCAAUUUAUUAACCAGAAGUUUAUGCAUGGCUGAAAAAAAAUGUUGAUGAUAAGACUGAAGAUGAUGGAAAAAAGGAGGCAGAGAAAAAGGAGCAACAAAUUACCUACCAAUGAAAAAAGUAAAAGAAAAACUCUAUAUAACUUGGGAACUGAAAAUUAAGGAUAAUGGUAACAAAGCUAGUGCAAGUACAUCUAACGAAGUUGAUCUUACAUUAGAAGGUAAAAAAAAAUUUAAUUUUGUUACUGAUUUGUUUUUCAGUUGCUAAUAAUCUAUUCUUCUUUCAUUUUGAUGAAGAUAAUUGCAAUCCGAAUAUAAAUGAGUCAAAGUGUCCGAGGAAGUAGAUUAAAUUUUUAAGAAUAUCUUUUCUCGUAUUAUUCAAAACAACUUUUUCUUUACAACAUUUCAAUUUCAGUUGUUUUCCAAAAACUUUAUGACAUUUUGAAACCAAAAUCAAACACUGUAGUUUUGAACAUUUUCAAUGUGAUAAUCAACUUUGAAAUAGUUUAUAUGAACUGCUAUUAUGUAUUAGUAAGUGUAAUGUACGUAGUGCAUGACUAAAUGCUAUAAUAUGACCUGAAAAUGCUGGGACACGAGAGAUGAAUGGUAAGUUCAACUAUGAUUUAUUUCUGUAACACUAGCAUUUGUCAAAUAAAUUCUAAUAACAUCUUUCCACAGAUAUUUCUGAAUUCGAAAAAAUUCCAAGUUUUCUAUCGUCACAAAAAGAUCCUGCCUUUCUGGACGAAGCAUGUGUUAUGGCAGAUGAAGCUGAAAAAGCAAAAAUAUUUUUAAAAAAGAUGAGAGACUUAAAUAAAGGUAACAACAUAUUAAAAAUGAGGAAAGAUUUUGAAGCCAGAGAGGGAGGCCAAGGAAAUCGAAAAAACACUUGUAAAACAAGUGGUAACAACAAUUAUUGACAGUGACGAUGAGCUAGACAAUAUCCCAAUUUCAUCUAGACAACAUGGACAACCUGUGAGGCCGAAACCAAGCUCUAUAGUGAAACGGAUUAAAGAACGAUAAGUUAUGAAAUAUGUAAUAUUCACUUAAUAUACGUAAAUUGUAAUAAAAUGUUAUUUUCGUAUAUAGGUAAACCAAGUCAGAAGAAAACAUGACCUCAUCUUAAAGGAACAAGUUGACCUUAAUAAAUUGUCACGCCGUAAAAUCAGCAAAGACGAGCAUCUAGAGUUAAACAAGCUAAUAGAAAGGGCAGCAUUAGAUGGAAUGCUCACACUAGACAACGUCUCAUGCGAUUCAGAAUCUUUGAUAUCUAUUACUGACCACAUGCCAAUAAAGGGACCGGUAUAUAUUCCUUCGAUAAAUGAUAUAAAAAUUAUAAAUAAGUUUUUUGUUCUUAUUUGAAAGUACGACAUACUUCGGUGCAGUGUAUCUCUAUGUUUAUACAGGUUCUGAAGAAGAAGAUUGUAUGUGACCAUAUGAGACAUGGAAUAGUCAAAUUCUUGCACCCAAUCCAAAUGGUAUGAUUUUACAUACAUUUACUUUGUAAUAUUAGAAAUCGAAAUUGUAAUGGUAAAAUGUAAAAUGAGUGAUGCAGAAAAAAUGUCACGGUAAUCCUCCGAAUAAACAAUUGAAUGAUAAUGAAUGGUUAAAAUUGAAUCAAAAACCUAGAUGGGGAUAACGAAGACUGGACUAAAAUCGAGAAAGUAUUGGUCCUCAUUAAGAGACAAAGAGUAUGACAUUUAAUAUUUCUGUGCAUUUGCACGAAAACAUUUUAUCACUACUCUCUUUUCCGUAAUUUGGAACCUUUGAACAAACAAUUUGCAGACUGCGUAAGUUCUAUAACUUGGAAUGUCGACAUUAUUUAAUCGAAUUUCAAAAAUUUAUACAUUUAUUCAAUGCAGGUACUAUGGCUGAAUCACUACAUUAUGAACGUGUAUUCUGAUCAUCAUAAAUCGCAUUGGUUAACGUGACAGGUUGAAGAUUUUCCCUAGGCAUCAUUCAAGAAAACUCAAGACAGCGGAGUCUAUGUUCUCAUAGCAAUGAAUUACAUAGUUAUGAGAGACACCGUGCUCUUGAGUAGAAAAGAUGUGGAUCAAAUGGCUAACAAGAUCGUAUAUGACAUUCUUCGAGCUUCUCUUCUCAAUGUUAAUUGCUACCUAUCGUACAAGCAAAGAGCUUAGUAUGUGUCUGUAAAAAUAUUAUCAAUUGGGAUGACUACAAGUACAAUGUUUUGUUAGGAAAGGUACAUCGCUAAGUAUAUGUUUUAUCAUUAAAAACUUUUUGUAAUAGCAUUACUACCAUAGUAGAACGCAUUAGUUCGACAACGUAACAUAACAUGGCAAAGGUAGCAUCUCAUGUGAUCAUUGCAUGUGGUUGUAUAAGCAUUAUUGAAGUACAGAUCGACAUCCCAUGUUAUCAUGUGCUAGACCACGAAAUAAUACUACCAUGUACUCAAAAUAGCAUUAUAGCAAGGGCGAUCAACAUAUCAUGUGAUCAUGUGCAAGAGUACCAACUAAUAAUUUGGUCCAAAUAAAGAAUAGCAUUACAAUAAGUCGUAUGAGCAUCUCAUGGUAUCAUUUGCAAAAUAACUGAAUAAUAAUAGCAUUAGUAAUGUAGUUGCACGCACUAUCAAAAUCUUGGUCUCUGAUCAUUGCGCAAAACAUUUAACAGCAUUACAUUCAGUCGCAGAAGCAUCUCAUGUGAUGAUUUCCAAGAUAACCAAGUAAUAAUUGCAUUAGUGGUUCAUUUGCAAGCACUAACAAAAUCUUGGCCUCUGAUCAUUGCACAGACACAUAAUAGCAUUGCAAUCAGUCGUAGAAGCAUCUCUUGUGAUCAUUUGCAAGAUAAUCAAGUAAUAAUAGCAUUAGUAGCUCAGUUCCACGUAUUACCGAAAUUUUUUAUCUGAUCAUUGCGUAAUGACAUAAUAGCAUUACAAGCAGUCUUACAAGCAUCAAAUGUGAUCAUUUACAUAAUAACCAAGUAAUAAUAGCAUUAGAAGCUCAGUUCCACGCACUAACAAAAUGUUGGGUAUGAUCAUUGCACGAUCUCAUAAUAGCAUUACAAUAAGGCUAAGAAGCAUAUCAUGUUAUCAUUUGCAUGAUUACAGAUUACUAAUAGCAUUAGUAACGUGGUUGCACGCACUAUCAAAAUCUUGACUUCUGAUCAUUGCACAAACAUGUAAUAGCAUUACAUUCAGUCGUAAAAGCAUCUCAUGUGAUCAUUAGCAAGAUAACCAAGUAAUAAUAACAUUAGUAGUUCGGUUGCAAGAACUAACAAAAUCUUGUAUCUGAUCAUUGCGCAAACACACAAUAGCAUUACAAUCAGUAGUAAAAGCAUCUUUUGUGAUCAUUUGCAAGAUGACCGAGUAAUAAUAGCAUUAGCAACUCAUUUCCACGCAUUACCGAAAACUUGUAUCUGAUCAUUACACGAACACAUAAUAGCAUUACAAUCAGUCGUAGAAGCAUCUCAUGUGAUCAUUUGCAAUAUAACCAAGUAAUAAUAGCAUUAGUAGUUUCAGUUGCAAGCACCAAGAAAAUCUUGGCUUCUGAUCAUUGCGCAGACACAUAAUAGCAUUACAUUCAGUCGUAGAAGCAUCUCAUGUUAUUAUUUAUAAGAUAACCGAGUAAUAAUAGCAUUAAAACUCAGUUCCACACAUUACCGAAAACUUGAAUUUGAUCAUUGCGUAAUGACAUAAUAACAUUACAAGCAGUCUUAUAAGCAUCUCAUGUGAUCAUUUGUAUGAUAACCAAGUAAUAAUAACAUUAGUACCAAGGUUUAAUAGCAUUAACAUCGUAGUUGCACGCACUAACAAAAACUUGUAUCUGAUUAUUGGGUAAUGACAUAAUAACAUUACAAACAGUCUUACAAGCAUCUCGUGUGAUCAUUUGCAUGAUAACCAAGUAAUAAUAGCAUUAGUAGCUUGAUGAUACCCUCAGAAUUCACGACAAGCGAGUCGAAAUUAGGUUCAUUAUUCAAAACUAAAUCAGCAACUGUUUCAAGGGGAAUCGCCGACUCAACCCCCGGAGUCGUUGAUUCAGUCUGAUGAGUCGACGACUCGUAGCGUAUACUCGACGCUUCCGGGUCGUCAGUAAGCUUUUCCCUUCUCCUCUUGAACACGGCUUUCUUCUUAAGCCCCUUCGGAAUCGGCGACUCCACAAAGGGAAUCGUCGAUCCAGGAGCGGGCCCAUGCAUGAAUCUCGCCCUUCUCAAGAACAACCUCGGGCACAGUCUCAAGAGCCUUGUCUGGAAUCGUCGACUCCGUAGAGGGAAUCGACGACUCAGGCAAAGGCCCAAGCAGUUCAUGCACCAAGGCACUCAUAUUAUCGUCUGCGGAUGGAACAACCGGAGUCGUCGAUCCAGCCUCCCUGGGAGGAGACGGAAGCGGCGACUCGACGGUGUUCAGCACCCCGACGAGGUUCUCCCCGGCCAUCUCGUUGAUCAUCGCAUCUGUCUCGGCGUCCGAGAGGCGGGGAACGUUAGGACUUGUUCUGGCCAUUCCUGGGAAUCGUUGAUUCACAAGAAAAGAAACUGAGGAAUCGGCGAUUGAAGGAUCUAGGGUUUUAGGCGAUUCGAGAAUUGGGGAAUGUGGAGUGAGAAGUGAGAGGAGCUCACCACUAUUUAUAGCCUUUGGGAGAAUUGCAAAAAAAACCCAGAAAAUCCAGAAAUUGCAAGGGAAGAGAUCGGAAAUUGAUCUCUGAAUCCCUGAAAUCACGCCGGAGUCGACAACUCCGUAGGGGAGUCGCCGAUUCCGGACACUAAUUUGCAAAAUUGGGCAGAUAUAUUUCCUUAUUUGGGAAAUUUGCAAAUAUUCUCCAAAUAUCUCGAGGAUCUUCUAAGAGAUCCGACAGUUCACAACAGGAGUCGUCGAUUCCCAAAGGGAGUCGCCGAUUCCAGAGGGUAAAAUUUCAAAAUGCCCCUCACAGGUACCCAAAACUCAGGAAUGGCCGAUUGGGACACCCAAUCGCCGACUCAGGGUAAACUGCUUCACGAGCAUGUUUUCAGGGGGGAGUAUCACAAACUCUCUCCGGCACUUCUGUCGCUUCGGCCAGAAGUCGUUGCAUUUCGAGGGGGAGUAUCACAAACUCUAUCCGGCAUCAUGGUUCAAAUCUAGGGUUAUAAUAAAAAAAUUACGAGUUUAACCCUCGAUUUCCAAAUAUUUACAUCUUAUUUUUUGAUCUGUUAUUCGUGCUAUUUUUUACAACUCUGUGUUAAAUUGGAAAUGUAAAUUGUCCGCAAAUUUAACGGACGGCUGAACUACGAUUCGUACGACCAAACUUACGCCCAGAGUGGCUAAGAUAGGGUUAGCAGAGUCUGACUUAUGUCCAGAGAGGCUAAGUUACGACUUGUGAAUCUAGCUUCGAGCCUAAGUUACAAUUUAAAUGAUGAUUUAUAUGAAAAAUUAACAAAGAAAAAACAAAAAAUAGUUCAUUGACAGUCAAAAUAAAAAGAUUACAAAAUAUUGUAGAAAAAUUAAUCAUUCCAAAAAAAAAAAUACAUAUGUCACACUGACAUGAUCCUCAGGGAGGAGUAUCACAAACUCUUUCCGACACUUCUGUCGCUUAGGCCAGAAGUCGUCACAUUUCGAGGGGGAGUAUCACAAACUCUCCCGAUACUUUUGUCGCUUCGGCCAGAAAUCGUCACAUUUCGAGGGGGAGUAUCACAAACUCUCCCGUCCCUACGGCCGGAAGUUGUCAAAAUAGAGCACGGUAAAUCUGUUGCUUCGGCCAGAAUCCGGUCUAUCUUGUCGCUUUGGUCUUGAUAGACCAGAGAUCAUUUUGUCGCUUUGGCCUUAAUAAUGGGUUCACCGUCGUUGCGGACAUAAAGUCGCUCUUGAUCAGAGUUGACUAUAAAUAUUAGUUCUAUCGUUUUGGCUAGAACUAGAUUCUGUCGCUUCGGCCAGAAUCGGAUCUAUUCUGUCGCUUUGGCUUUAAUAGAUCCAGGUCCAUUUUGUCGCUUUGGCUUUAAUGGACCAAGAAUUAUUUUGUCGCUUUGGCUUUAACAAUUCUCUCAUCUUGUCGCUUUGGCCUUGAUGACACAACAAAAGUCGCUCUUGAUCAGAGUUGGACUAUAAACACGUAGUUCCGUUGGCAUGAAACUAAAUUCUGUCGCUUCGGCCAGAAUCAAGAAUCAAUCCAUUUUGUCGCUUUAGCCUUAAUGGAUACAGAAUCAUGGUGUCGCUGUGGCCGCAAUGAUUCAAUCCCAUCUUGUCGCUUUGGCCUUGAUGCGGAUCACACACAACCUUGCUUGGAAGGGGAUAUUGGCGAUACACGCAUGUUUCUUGUGCUCUCUUUAGGGGGGAGUACUGAUGAGACAUGUCUGAUUACGUCAGUCACUCCCAUCAACGCCUUUCAACAAGGACUAGGGUUUCGUCGCUUUAUGCCGGACUCCCGGGGAACAAAACGGUUGCGGAACAAGUGUCUACGUCAAGUCCUCAAGUCAACACAUGGGAAUCGACGAUUGGGACUACCAAGUCGCCGAUUCCAGAGGUGAGUCGACGAGUCGAGAUCAAGUUAGUCAGUUCUGGUAGACUGACGACCUUGCUCCUAGGACUCGCCGAUUCCACCUCUGAAUCGACGACUCCCAUACCUGAGUCGCCGAUUCUUAGCCGUUACUUGUGGCUGGCUCACAACAUUAUGGCACCAUUAAUCGGGCGCUAUAAUGGUGUGGGCCCGGCUCUAUAUUGGGUCGUUUCCCCAAAGACCCUAUAAAGGGGUCCUUGGGGGUCCUCCCAAUCCAUCUCAUCCUCACUUGACACACCCCAACCAGAGCACAUUAAGGAGCCUGAAUCGUCUAAUCUCAAGCUGAGUCGUCGAUUCCCCUCCUCUCUGCAGGAAUUUGACGUAGAGCGCGCGUCGUUGACUCCAAAGCCUCCGGCCCUUCUCGCAACCCCGCGAGCCCCUGGUAGCAGAUUACGUGCUUCAUCAUAGCUCAGUUCCACGCACUAACAAAAUGUUGGGUAUGAUCAUUGCACGAUCUCAUAAUACAACUUACGAAAAUGACAGUCUUUUUAUGACGAUUGACUCCACAAAACAUUUCAAAUAUCAAAGAAUAAACAUUCGUUUUAUAAGUGGUGUCAAAUAUUGUAACUGCAUCUCCAAAUAACUUAAAAUGUUGAAUCAUUAUAGAAUCAGCUUAAAAAACAUGUUUCAAUCUUCCGAUCGAAUCUUUGACAAUAGAAUAAAAGAAAUCAGACUGUACAUAAUUUUUCGUUUCGAAUUUCUCGACCAAUAGAUCAACGUUAUAAUUCUUCAAAUCGACACAACCCAAAUUUGAUAUAUUCAAUUGAGUAUAUCCCAUAUGCUCGAUUCCACCGACUUGAAAAACGGAUACGUUGACAUCACUAAUAGAAUUGAAAAGUAAUAUGAAGGUAGAGAGGAUAUUGAAAGGUACCGUACUUUGGAUAUUGAACGGUUAUUGAAGUGAUUAAUAGUCACGUCUCAUUGGAAAUAGUUUUUUUCUUUCUUCUAAGUCAAGCAACCGUUGACAAGACAAUACAACGCAUAGGUUCAUACAUAUGUUUCCUGCUAUUAAUUAACUAGCUAUUGAUUUAUUCAUGUCACAUUCUAUUAUCCAGCAUGUAAACGGUUAAUUACAUCAUUCUACUACUAUUAUGUAACACACGGCUGACAUUACAUCAACUUAUACCAACGGCCAGGAUUGAUACGGCACAUAUAGUUAUAUUCCACCAGAAUUUUUCCCUAUAUAUAUAUAUAUAUAUAACGAAGCAGCGAUUGGUUGUAGAGUUAAAAAUAUGAUAUACAAGCUGAUUUAGAAUCUUAAUUGUGUAAUUUAGAAGAAGUCGUUUGUUUAACUGCAAUAAUCUAAAUAAAAUGACGGAAUUCAUGGCUAGAAAUGGACGAGGGGCCGGUUUCGUCUGUGUAUAAAUUCCCCACAAGGCCACAACGUAUAGCAUCGUACUUACUCAUAAUAAAUAAUAUAUAUAUAUAUAUAUAUAUAUAUAAUUUAUAACAAAUUUAUAAACACAUAAAUAAAUAAAUAAAUAAUUAUAUAUAGAUAUAACUAUAAUAUAAUAUAUGGGAGGGUUUAAUUUAUCAGUUGAUUCUUUUUUUUUUUGGUGUUGGUUUUGGUUUUGGGCUUCACCCAGAUUGACAAAGUCGUUUCCACGAAAAGCUUUGUGUUGACAAAAUAUGGAGCCAAGAGCAAUGGAAAAAGUGAUUGUACCAGUGCCUUGUUAGCUGCAUGGAAAGAUGCAUGUCAAACCCCAGGAGGCGCCAUGGUUCUGGUUCCUUCCGGCAAGUAUCUCACUGCCAUGGCGUUUUUGAAGGGACCAUGCAAAGGUCCCAUGACAUUCAAAUUGGAUGGAGUGCUUUUGGCCACCAAAGAUCUUUCAAAAUAUCAAAGAAAAAAUUGGAUUUCAUUUGAAUUCAUUAAGAAUUUCAAACUCAUCGGCAGAGGAACGUUCGAUGGGCAAGGUCAAUCGGCAUGGGCAAAUAACAAGAGGACCGGAAAAACUUUCCCCACGGUACGUACGUUAAAAUAGCUAGAUAGAUUUCAAAUGAAAUGUUUAUAGUUUUUUUUUACAAUCGAUCGAUCUAAUCAUGUGGUCGGUCGGAUUUAAAAACAUGCAUUAACCAGUCUUUGCAAUUCACCAAUAUCGACAACGGAGUAGUCCAAGGAUUCUCUUUAUUAAACGCGAAGAUGUUUCACAUGAUGAUCUUCCGAUGCAACAACCUGAUGGUGGACAGCGUAAAAAUCAACGCACCAGGCAACAGUCCCAACACAGAUGGCAUUCACAUAAGUCUCUGUAACAACAUCAUUAUCAAAAACACCAAGAUAAGUACCGGAGAUGACUGCAUCUCCAUAGGGCAGACCAACAGAGGUCUCUCCAUCACCAACGUGAUCUGCGGCCCAGGACAUGGUAUCAGUGUGGGAAGUCUCGGAAAGUAUAAUUCUGACAAGGAUGUUAGCGACAUCAUGGUGAGUAGGUGCAACAUCAAGGGAACAACCAAUGGCGUUAGAAUCAAGACAUGGCAGAAAUCUUACCCCUUGACUUGCAGAAACUUCACGUUCCAAAACAUCAAGAUGGAUAACGUGUUGAACCCCAUCAUUAUCGAUCAGGAAUACUGUCCAUAUGGAAAUGGGCGUUGCGGUGGACAAUCGACCUCAUCUCAGGUUAGUAUCAGAGACGUCACUUACGACACAAUCAAAGGAUCCUCG
rnacentral:lncRNA from 1 species